AUUGAACGCUGGCGGCAGGCCUAACACAUGCAAGUCGAACGAGUGGCGGACGGGUGAGUAAUGUCUGGGAAACUGCCCGAUGGAGGGGGAUAACUACUGGCAACGGUAGCUAAUAACGCAUACCAUAGGAGGUUCCCAGAUGGGAUUAGCUAGUAGGUGGGGUAACGGCUCAACUAGGCGACGAUCCCUAGCUGGCCUGAGAGGAUGACCAGCCACACUGGAACUGAGACACGGUCCAGACUCCUCCGGGAGGCAGCAGUGGGGAGUAUUGCACAAUGGGCGCAAGCCUGAUCCAGCCAUGCCGCGUGUAUGAAGAAGGCCUUCUGGUUGUAAAGUACUUUCAGCGAGGAGGCGUUACUCGCAGAAGAAGCACCGGCUAACUCCGUGCCAGCAGCCGCGGUAAUAC
rnacentral:rRNA from 1 species